rnacentral:tRNA from 1 species
GCCCAGGUAGCUCAGUCGGUAGAGCAGUCGCCUGAAGAGCGUCGUGUCGGUGGUUCGAUUCCUCCCCUGGGCACCA